GACGAACGCUGGCGGCGUGCCUAAUACAUGCAAGUAGAACGCUGAAGGAGGAGCUUGCUUCUCUGGAUGAGUUGCGAACGGGUGAGUAACGCGUAGGUAACCUGCCUGGUAGCGGGGGAUAACUAUUGGAAACGAUAGCUAAUACCGCAUAAGAGUAGAUGUUGCAUGACAUUUGCUUAAAAGGUGCAAUUGCAUCACUACCAGAUGGACCUGCGUUGUAUUAGCUAGUUAGUGAGGUAACGGCUCACCAAGGCAACGAUACAUAGCCGACCUGAGAGGGUGAUCGGCCACACUGGGACUGAGACACGGCCCAGACUCCUACGGGAGGCAGCAGUAGGGAAUCUUCGGCAAUGGACGGAAGUCUGACCGAGCAACGCCGCGUGAGUGAAGAAGGUUUUCGGAUCGUAAAGCUCUGUUGUAAGAGAAGAACGAGUGUGAGAGUGGAAAGUUCACACUGUGACGGUAUCUUACCAGAAAGGGACGGCUAACUACGUG
rnacentral:rRNA from 1 species